GAUGAACGCUGGCGGCGUGCCUAAUACAUGCAAGUCGAGCGAAUGGAUUAAGAGCUUGCUCUUAUGAAGUUAGCGGCGGACGGGUGAGUAACACGUGGGUAACCUGCCCAUAAGACUGGGAUAACUCCGGGAAACCGGGGCUAAUACCGGAUAACAUUUUGAACCGCAUGGUUCGAAAUUGAAAGGCGGCUUCGGCUGUCACUUAUGGAUGGACCCGCGUCGCAUUAGCUAGUUGGUGAGGUAACGGCUCACCAAGGCAACGAUGCGUAGCCGACCGGGGAGGGUGAUCGGCCACACUGGGACUGAGACACGGCCCAGACUCCUACGGGAGGAAGCAGUAGGGAAUCUUCCGCAAUGGACGAAAGUCUGACGGAGCAACGCCGCGUGAGUGAUGAAGGCUUUCGGGUCGUAAAACGCUGUUGUUAGGGAAGAACAAGUGCUAGUUGAAUAAGCUGGCACCUUGACGGUACCUAACCAGAAAGCCACGGCUAACUACGUGCCAGCAGCCGCCGUAA
rnacentral:rRNA from 1 species